GGCUUGUUUGCAAAUGGGGCCUUAGGCCAAUGUGUAAGUUCCCCCUUGACUAUGAACCAAAAGUGACGUAUUGUUACUCGUGAAAUGUUGGUUUUUAUUGACAACUAAGCAUGUUAUCCGAAAAAGGAAGAUCUCCAAUUCACCUCCUGAACAGAAGAAUAAUAUAUAUAAUGUCACCAUGCAAGUUGAAGCAAUUUUUAUUUUUCAUUUUUGAACAUGUAAUAUAACGUCAUCUAGCUACCGACCAUUCUCCUGAUUCAAAAUCUUGAUAGUCCACGAGAGGUUGGAAGUCAGGACAACUAAUGAACUAUAAUUAUACAGCUUGUAUAUAAUUACAACUGUAUUCUUCUCAUCAAUCUUGUCCACCACAUGCAUCACAACAUGCAGCACAGCCCAAACAUGCCAAGGCACCGCACAGCUGCGUGAGUGCGAUCGCGCACUGGUUGUUUAACCUUGAACAACAUUGAAUACAGCACAUGCAACAGCAGUGGUCAAAAAGAUUUCCACAACAAUUUGAAGCUGCC
rnacentral:lncRNA from 1 species